GAUGAACGCUGGCGGCGUGCCUAAUACAUGCAAGUCGAGCGAACGGACGAGAAGCUUGCUUCUCUGAUGUUAGCGGCGGACGGGUGAGUAACACGUGGAUAACCUACCUAUAAGACUGGGAUAACUUCGGGAAACCGGAGCUAAUACCGGAUAAUAUUUUGAACCGCAUGGUUCAAAAGUGAAAGACGGUCUUGCUGUCACUUAUAGAUGGAUCCGCGCUGCAUUAGCUAGUUGGUAAGGUAACGGCUUACCAAGGCAACGAUGCAUAGCCGACCUGAGAGGGUGAUCGGCCACACUGGAACUGAGGCACGGUCCAGACUCCUACGGGAGGCAGCAGUAGGGAAUCUUCCGCAAUGGGCGAAAGCCUGACGGAGCAACGCCGCGUGAGUGAUGAAGGUCUUCGGAUCGUAAAACUCUGUUAUUAGGGAAGAACAUAUGUGUAAGUAACUGUGCACAUCUUGACGGUACCUAAUCAGAAAGCCACGGCUAACUACGUGC
rnacentral:rRNA from 1 species